GUAUUUGAAUUUCUCAAACACUGUCAAACGUGCUUUUGUCUCAUAAGUCUAGAGGUUGUUGUUAUUAUGAUCAUCAUACCUAAUGUGAACAUAGUCGUAAGAGAGGUGCUUGGCAGAAUAGAAACCUCGUUCCAGCCGGGAAUGCACAGAGAUUCCUUUAGCAAAAAGCCAAAGGCUCCUUUUCCCUCCUGCUUGGAAGCCUUGGCAGAUAAACUAAGGAAAACUCGAGAUCAUACACAUAUCUGUAAGAUCACUGUGCCAUGAUUCUGGGGAACUAAACUGCAAGAAGACGGAUGUUGCAACUGAAUCUGAAGGUGGCAAACAUGGUAUCAUUCCUGGGAAUCACAGUCUUUGCCUAGAGGCACAUACCAGCUCAGGAAGAGUGGUUUCCAGUGGGAGUAUAACUCAGAGAUACCCCAAGGAAGGUAAACACACCAGAGGCUAUGAGAGGGUAACAGCACUGGAGACUGCAGGAGGUUGGAGAUGCAUAACUGUUAUAUAGCCGAAGAAUAAGGAAGGAAGAGAAGCCGUUUUCACUUCUGGGCUGAUUAAAGCUAUGUUAAAUUUCAUGAAAAUUAUUAUGAGAUUUGUUAUUUUUACUUGUUUUGGAAAACAGAAUGAGAUAUAAGGACAAGAUCUGGAAAUAACCAUGCAUGACAUUUACCUCUCUUCCCUGGCUGACAAAAUAAUAACAUCCUUAAAUUCCAGUGCAUAAAAAAAGGAUCUCAUAUCUUACAUAAACAUGGCACCUGUAUGGCAUUAUUCAUCAAAUAUAAACACAUUUAAGUUACCCAAAAGUUAGCUAAGACACUGCUUUUUCAUGUACUAUUCACAUUGGAUUAACUAUGAAGAAAAGAUUUAACAUGGCAUGAGAAAAUAAAGCCAAGAGCAGUAGAUAUUAAGUUUGUUAAAAUUAAAAUGUAGUGAUUAUUUAAUUUUCUUUAUCCUUCAUAACAUUUAAUGAGACAAUAUUUAAAAAAUUAAUGAGCAUCUGUGAAAUAGUCUUACAAUUUAUCAAGACACAUAAGCCAUUCCCAUGAGUUUAUAAAUUAUUUAAUUAAAAAAAUUAAAAAUAUAGCAAUAAAAUUAUUUGUGAGUAGUUAGUGCAGUACAAUAAUAGAUUUCUGUUUCUUCUGUGCCAACAGUAUCUUGAUGACUACACAAGAAAAGGAGGGAAUAAUUGCAUUCCUGUCCAAUAUGAAAUAGAGCCAAACCACUUCUGCUCCAUGAGUCACUGAUCUCAUCAAUAGAUUUAGGCUGCCCAGAGGGGCACAUCCUAUCACCAUCUCAGGAAACAUUAUUUGUGAAUUAAUUGUUAGAUAUCAUUACCAGGCUUCCAAAUAUGUCACUGAAUGCUAGCUAUGGUCCAAUAGCUCUAGCAAAAGAAGGACACCAUCAUACUGGGAGAAAUGUUCUGAAACCCUCCUAGUUGCAGCUAUCAAGAAGAGAAAUAUUAAGGGCUGAACUCUCCUCAGAUUCCUGACAUUACAGGAUCUACAUCCUGAUUUCCUGCUUUAUGCUACUUCUAAUAAGCUGCACAAUGGAAAAGAACCGAGAAAUUAAUUGCCAAAAGCUUGUAUGUGUUGAUAUUGCACAGGAAAAUCUGCUUUUCAUCUUUUUAACCAGCUCACUUCACAAUACAAAACCUAGUGAAGUGACAGCAUGUCAUAGUCUGUGUGAGAGAGGCAUCAAGAUGUUGGAGAGGUUUUCUAAAAUCUGGCAAACAUUCUGAAGAAAGAUCACCCUUGACCUCUUUCUUAUUCACGUUUUGUAAGAUUCUAUUAAAAGCUAUUUUCAAAGU
rnacentral:lncRNA from 1 species